rnacentral:rRNA from 1 species
GACGAACCGAGCGAACGUUGUUCGGAAUAACUGGGCUUAAAGGGCGCGUAGGCGGGCCGCCAAGUUCGAGGUGAAAUCCUCCGGCUCAACCGGAGAACUGCCUCGAAUACUGGAGGCCUCGAGGCGGGUAGGGGCACGCGGAACUGUGGGUGGAGCGGUGAAAUGCGUUGAUAUCCACAGGAACUCCGGUGGCGAAGGCGGCGUGCUGGACCCGAUCUGACGCUGAGGCGCGAAAGCGUGGGGAGCGAACAGG